AUUACGUAUACAUAUUAACAGUUUAUAAAUAUUUUUAAUGUAAAUUAGUUUAAAGGACUAUACAUAAACUGUUCCCGCGAUUGUAUGAAAUCAGUCUAAUGUUUGUUAACCAAAGCAUUAAAGGCAGCCAUUAUUCAUUAAGCUUUCAAAGUAUAGUUUCAAAAGAGAAGAUGUUUGGUACUCAUCGACAAGGUGUUUCUUGCCGAUUAAUGUGUAUAAUCGUGCUGUAUCAGCUGCCGAACUUCAUCAGCAGUCAAUGCGGCAAUGGCACGUAUUUCAGUCAUGAUUUGGAAGGGUGCUUGGAUUGCCCUGACAUACCCUCGAUUGAUUGUCGAGAUGUACACCAGAGUGACAUAAAAUCGUGCUUACAAAAUUGUAUAAGUAUAACAGGUAAUUAUUUUACUGAUUAUUGACUGAAAUAUAGCUUGACCAUCAUAUAUUAUAGUCUAUGUAUAGAACGUAUACUUGCCUCAUGUACUGUAUUAUAUAUAGGCUAGAUAGUUAGGAAUAGCUCUGGUUGUCGAUCCACACUGCCAAAUCAGUCUGCUUAUCA